rnacentral:misc_RNA from 1 species
AAGAUUUUGGGCUUUUAACCCGAUCGUUCAGCUGUGCGCCCUUCACAGGGCUGCACGCUGGAGCAAGACCCCACACCUGUGCACCUUUUCGGUUGCGGCUUCGGUCGCUGCCGCUUUCAAAUGCAACAACUCAGUCUCGAAUGUUAACAAAACCAUAAAAAGUAA